GGGGCCGACCUGGUUUCGACAGCGGCUACGUAGUGCGUGCAAGCAUGCAGAGCGGUGGGGAACGGCUCUUCAAAACGAUCUCCACGCCUUAACCGGCGAAUACAGCUACGCUCUCGCUGCCUAAUCGCCUCAGGCGAUGAAGCUUUAUCCGCGCGAAUAACAGUAACGCGGACGAGUACCUCUCGGAACGACCCGUCGUCCACGUUCCGGAAUCGGGGUAUCAGCUUGGAAGACUGGUCAACGCGGUGGUCCGGAGCGUUGAUGAGACAACAGGACCUAAGUCCUCGCUGGGGUGCCUCUUCUCAGGCGGGGAUCGAAAAUGAACAAGAAGGCUAAGCAUGUAGAAAGCCCGUGUUACGGUCGUUUGGACGAGGGUUCGAAUCCCUCCGGCUCCACAA
rnacentral:tmRNA from 1 species